UCAGCUUAUUUCGCACUCCUAAUGCCAGACUCCUGAGCAUUAAUUUUUAAAGACUCCUCCUCUAUUCCUGCCACACAUUUAAAGCCAGAAGAGCGUCGACAGGUGUUACCGCAAAGAACGAACCCGCUCGGACCCGGUUUCGAGACGUUUUGCCGCACCAGCCACCACAGCUCCGCGUGCUCGCAGCAGCAGCGUCUGCGUACCGCUAACACUUGCGCAUAUGUCAAAGGCUAUGAAUAGACUUUUUAGCAAAUGCAACAAAUAGAUGCAGAGUUGGAAACCUUGGGAAUGUGUCAUCUGCAGCAUAAUGGAAAAGGGCUUCUCGAUACGGUCAUAAGGAUACUGCUUUCUCCUCCUCCUCCCAGUGACCCUGGAGCCCCUGCGUGACAAACUCCAUCUCGCUAAACGUGCAGGACUAUCACGGAGCAGCAGAGCAGAAAAGACCCGAGUUUGGGACUGCCUGAACCAUUUCACCUCUGUGACCUUCAGUUUUGCCGUUUGUGAACAGGUGACGCUGAUCCCUCUCCUGUCCGAGUUGGAGCUAAGGAGUACACGCAUUCACUUGACACAUCCAAAGUGCCAUAAAACUGCUAAAUAUUACUGCCAAAGACGCUCUCCCCCCUUCAGGCAGGUCCACACAUCAAUUCUGAUUUGCUAUCUAUGUCAGCUUUCUCCUCACUACAGUUAUACUGCCUCUACAGUAGGAAUGCAGUUAUGCCAAUACAGAGGAGCUUUAUAUCAUCAUCAUUUGUCUGCAAAGGAAGACGCUACAACAGUCUAUGCAGUUAUGUGCUGGCAUAGCAGAGUACUUGCCCUAGGGAGUUAGGUUUAAAGCAAAAUUAGAGUUCUAUCAUUUCAGCUGCAGAGAAAAGACAGACCUAAGAAUACCAAUUCCACAGAUGGCACGGCCAGUUGGACUGGUACUGGGCUGGACCAGCUCCUGAUCUGGAUUUUGCAGUGUACCUGGACAAAUUUCUACAGUGAUAGAUGUUGUGGCAAAGGGAGGAAAGAAGGGGAAAAACAGUGUUCCCCUUCUUUAAAAAGCAUUUGAGACAAGCAGAUUAAAAAUACUACAUAAGAGCUACCAUUACUCUUUAAAAUUCAUGGUAUUGUUUAACAAAUCACACCCUGUAACUGUCAUCACAACUAUUUUUAUCUACCUUAGAGAGUAGAUACAGCAUCUCUGCUGACCAAAAAGAAAGGAUCAACAUUUAGCACAUGCUUAAAUGUUGUUCAAGAGAAAGGUCCAGUUCAGGACAGAGGACAGGCCAGUGCUUUAUUUUAUACGCCCUGUGCUGUAUUUUACAUGCCCUGGCAGAGCUGCACGCAGCCAGUUCUGCUCCUGUGCAUGCUCUGCCCUUUGCAGUUAUAGUUCUCCCCUUCUGCACAGCACAUUCCCUGUUCCAAUGGAUCAGUUAUCAUGCCUCCGCAAUUCCACAUAGAACCCAGAAAAGUUAGUCCAGAAACCUUGAACUGGGCUUUAAUUCAAAGAUGAGCCAGUGCCGAGAGGGACACCAGGACAGUGUGUUAUCAGCAAACCCAUAUGCAGUAGAAAACUGGAUCACGCAGAGAACAGACUCCCUUCUUAAGGGUAACAGAAAUACUAUUUCUAAAAGAAGGUCACACAAUGAACCUGGAUACAGCUUCCUGCUUUCUCCUGAUCUGUUCCUCCCCACCACAGUCAGACAGCUUUUCAGGAAACCGAGACACUGGACCAAGGUUAUGAGCAGUUAUAUCAUGAAGAGGGAAAAAAAAAAGAAAUGAAAAAAGACCACAAGAGAAAUAUUUUCCUGCACUAACCACCAAGAACCCCAUGUCUUAUAAAACGAGACACAAGGCCAAGUUUCAGGGACUUUCAAAUCUCAACACUAAGAUCUACCUUACCGAGGAUUUAUAAUUACAGCACAGACAUUUUACCCCUGUGCUUCACUGUUAGUAGUAAUGCUCAGUUCCACUGUUUGCAAGACAAAUAGUUUAAGGAGUUCUCAUAUGAAUAAAAGAUAGAAGAACUA